AUACGGAGGAUCCGAGCGUUAUCCGGAUUUAUUGGGUUUAAAGGGUGCGCAGGCGGCCAUUUAAGUCAGCGGUUAAAUCGUGGGGCUCAACCCCAUUCUGCCGUUGAUACUGGGUGGCUUGAUUGCGGUCGAGGUUGGCGGAAUUCGUUGUGUAGCGGUGAAAUGCAUAGAUAUGACGAAGAACACCGAUUGCGUAGGCAGCUGACCAGACCGCAAAUGACGCUCAUGCGCGAAAGUGCGGGGAUCGAACAGGAUUAGAUACCCUGGUAGUCCGCACAGUAAACGAUGAAUACUUGUUUUCGGCGAUAUAAUGUCGGAGGCAAAGCGAAAGCGAUAAGUAUUCCACCUGGGGAGUACGCCGGCAACGGUGAAACUCAAAUGAAUUGACGGGG
rnacentral:rRNA from 1 species